GACGAACGCUGGCGGCGUGCUUAACACAUGCAAGUCGAACGGAAAGGCCUUUUCGGAGGUACUCGAGUGGCGAACGGGUGAGUAACACGUGGGUGAUCUUCCCUGCACUCUGGGAUAAGCCUGGGAAACUGGGUCUAAUACCGGAUAGGACCGCACUUUAGUGUGUGUGGUGGAAAGUUUUUUCGGUGUAGGGUGAGCCCGCGGCCUAUCAGCUUGUUGGUGGGGUAAUGGCCUACCAAGGCGGCGACGGGUAGCCGGACUGAGAGGUUGGUCGGCCACAUUGGGACUGAGAUACGGCCCAGACUCCUACGGGAGGCAGCAGUGGGGAAUAUUGCACAAUGGGCGCAAGCCUGAUGCAGCGACGCCGCGGGGGGGAGGACGGCCUUCGGGUUGUAAACUCCUUUCGCCAGGGACGAAGCGUUUUGUGACGGUACCUGGAGAAGAAGCACCGGCUAACUACGUG
rnacentral:rRNA from 1 species